rnacentral:rRNA from 1 species
GACGAACGCUGGCGGCGUGCUUAACACAUGCAAGUCGAGCGGGAUCCAACCGGUGGCAACACCGGGGAAGAUCUAGCGGCGAACGGGUGAGUAACACGUGAGCAACCUGCCCCGAAGACUGGGAUAACACCGGGAAACCGGUGCUAAUACCGGAUGUCGUCAUUAGGCCGCAUGACCUGAUGAUGAAAGGAUUCAUCGCUUCGGGAGGGGCUCGCGGGCUAUCAGCUUGNGGGUGGGGUAACGGCCUACCAAGGCGACGACGGCUAGCUGGUCUGAGAGGACGACCAGCCACACUGGGACUGAGACACGGCCCAGACUCCUACGGGAGGCAGCAGUGGGGAAUAUUGGACAAUGGGCGCAAGCCUGAUCCAGCCAUGCCGCGUGAGUGACGAAGGCCUUAGGGUUGUAAAGCUCUUUGCCGGGGACGAUAAUGACGGUACCCGGAGAAUAAGUCCCGG